ACGUGGCCCAAUAUGGGAGCGUCAGGUGCGGUAACAGGUUUGAUUCACAGCUCCAGGAUUGAACGUCGUGUGUGGUCUUUUUUACAUGCAAGUCGAACAACGGCACGGACUUCGGUCUGGCGGCGAGUGGCGAACGGGUGAGUAAUGUAUCGGAACGUGCUAGUAGCGGGGAUAACUACGCGAAAGCGUAGCUAAUACCGCAUACGCCCUUCGGGGAAAGCGGGGGACCUUCGGGCCUCGCACUAUUAGAGCAGCCGAUAUCAAGUUGCAGCUAGUUGGUGGGGUAACGGCUCACCAAGGCGACGAUCCGUAGCUGGUUUGAGAGGACGACCAGCCACACUGGGACUGAGACACGGCCCGAACUCCUACGGGAGGCAGCAGUGGGGAAUUUUGGACAAUGAGGGGAAACCUGAUCCAGCCAUCCCGCGUGUGCGAUGAAGGCCUUCGGGUUGUAAAGCACUUUUGGCGGGAAAGAAACGGCACGGGAUAAUACCCCGUGCAACUGACGAUACCUGCAGAAUAAGCACCGGCUAACUACGUGCCAGCAGCCGCGGUAAUGCGUAGGGUGCAAGCGUUAAUCGGAAUUACUGGGCGUAAAGCGUGCGCAGGCGGUUCGGAAAGAAAGAUGUGGAAAUCCCCAGAGCUUAACUUUGGAACUGCAUUUUUAACUACCGAGCUAGAGUGUGUCAGAGGAGGUGGAAUUCCGCGUGUAGCAGUGAAAUGCGUAGAUAUGCGGAGGAACACCGAUGGCGAAGGCAGCCUCCUGGGAUAACACUGACGCUCAUGCACGAAAGCGUGGGAGCAAACGGGAUUAGAUACCCUGGUAGUCCACGCCCUAAACUUGAUGUCAACUAGCUGUUGGGGCCUUCGGGCCUUGGUGGCCGCAACUAACGUGAAGUUGACCGCCUGGGAGAUACGGUCGCAAGAUUAAAACUCAAAGGAAUUGACGGGGACCCGCACAAGCGGUGGAUGAUGUGGAUUAAUUCGAUGCAACGCGAAAAACCUUACCUACCCUUGACAUGUCUGGAAUCCCGAAGAGAUUUGGGGAGUGCUCGCAAGAGAACCGGAACACAGGUGCUGCAUGGCUGUCGUCAGCUCGUGUCGUGAGAUGUUGGGUUAAGUCCCGCAACGAGCGCAACCCUUGUCGUGGAUUGCUACGAAAGGGCACUCUAAUGAGACUGCCGGUGACAAACCGGAGGAAGGUGGGGAUGACGUCAAGUCCUCGCUGGCCCAUAUGGGUAGGGCUUCACACGUCAUACAAUGGUCGGGACAGAGGGUCGCUUCAACCCGCGAGGAGCCAAUCCCAGAAACCCGAUCGUAGUCCGGAUCGCAGUCUACCGCAACUCGACUGCGUGGAAGUCGGAAUCGCUGGUAAUCGCGGAUCAGCCAUGUCGCGGUGAAUACGUUCCCGGGUCUUGUACACACCGCCCGUCACACCAUGGGAGUGGGUUUUACCGAAGUAUUAGCUAACCGUAAGGAGGGCGAUUACCACGGUAGGAUUCAUGACUGGGGUGAAGUCGUAGCUAAAGGUAA
rnacentral:rRNA from 1 species